UAAUACGUAGGGGGCAAGCGUUGCUCGGAAUUACUGGGCGUAAAGGGUCCGUAGGCGGUAGGGCUAGUCGACGGUGAAAUCUCCCGGCUUAACCGGGAGGGGUCCGCCGAAACUACCCCACUGGAGGGCCGGAGAGGCGAGUGGAAUUACCGGUGUAGCGGUGAAAUGCGUAGAUAUCGGUAGGAACACCGGAGGCGAAGGCGGCUCGCUGGACGGCACCUGACGCUGAGGGACGAAAGCUAGGGGAGCAAACAGGAUUAGAUACCCUGGUAGUCCUAGCCGUAAACGUUGGUCACUAGAUGUGCCCCCCGUUCGGGGGGCGUGUCGCAGCUAACGCGAUAAGUGACCCGCCUGGGGAGUACGGUCGCAAGGCUG
rnacentral:rRNA from 1 species